ensembl:lncRNA
ACAACAACAUUCUCAGAGGGCGGAGCCAGAGAGCAGUGAUUGGUCAGACCAAAGAUAAUAUAGAAGACAGCGCUAGCGUAUCCAGUCUGUAUGUAUCUAUGGUCUGCACGUCUGGUAGCAUCUGUGGCUGCUGUUGAUCUUGUUUUUGGAGUAAAACACGGUGGAAGCUGAAUUAGUGAGGAUGACUCCUGCUCCUGUCAUCUCUAAGCUCCUCCCACAUCUUUACCUGCACAUGAGGAAAAUCACUCCUGUAGAAUGCAGAUGUUCAGAGGGAGAUGAUGCCACAUCUGGUCCAGCCGAUGGAAGGUCUUGAAGUUCUCUGACUGGCCUCGACUGAAGAUGGUCGUCUCACUGGAUUUAAGGUUCAGAUGCUCAGUAACAAACUCCACCAAUGAGCCAACAGGGAAGCUUUAGGUUUAUUAAAUGUUGCUAUGAAGGUUUCGCUGUUUUUCUUUGUGAAUGCAAUGUGCUCCAACUGAAAGUUGAAUUAGAACUUAGAAGUAAAUCCUUCCAUCUGAAAGGAUUUAGUUGCAUUAAUAACCUCAUAACAUUCUAAUUUUUAUUCCAGUCUUGGUUGGAAAUAGAAUCUCUGUAUUGAUUCAGGUAAAAACUGAACUUCACAGCAUGUUGGAGCAAAACAAUCAGAUGAAAACUGUGAUGGUGUUGGAUUGUCAGACCGUAAUGUUGCAGCUCAAAGCAGCUUUUCUAGCUCAGUUCAUUCUGACAUUCAGCUAUGAAUCAACACAGUAGAUGGUGAUCCAUGCUGUGGAAGUCUCACAUCUCCUGAUUUAAUGGAGCUGCUUUGCACUUUUUACACUGUUUAUUCACCAACACUUUAUUUAAUAAAAGUCCCAUCUAGUUUUUAUGAGGAAUGUGAUGUUUUAAUUUCUCUGUGAAUAACUGCAGUCUAAUGCAACAGCUGGAAUUGUAACAUCUGUCCUGAUAUUGAUCAUGAAGUAUUGAUCAGACUACUUAUGGUUAGCAGUCAUCCCUGAAGUUUUACAUUAAAAUCUUUACUUGUGUUGUGAACUUUGGUAAGAAGCAGAAACGUUAGCGUUGCCAUGGAUAUAUGAGUGUUAAAUUCUGUCCAUGUUUCCAUUUCGGGAAAUUCAGUCCAGUUCCAGAAUGUGGAGGAAUUUAGUCUCACAAUCACAGACAACAAAUAUUAUCUGAAAGUCGGGUUAUUGUUGUUUAUCAGCACAAUACAAAAAGAUUAAUGUUAGAAAUAUUCCAGUUAAGACUCUAGAAUGUCAUGAUUCAUGUAAAUUUACCUCAAUAAUAUGAAUGUUCAGGUUAAGAUUGUACAGUGAUAUUUAUUAUGCAAGUUUAGCUGAUUAACGUUUAUGACUCUGCACUAAAAUAUUAUUUAAAUUGACAUCAUUAUUAUAAUAUUUAGGGUCAGACCCUACAGUAUUGAGAUUAAAAAAUCAAAUAUUCUAUAAAAUGUAAAUACACUGAAUUCAUUUGGAUAUAUUUAAGUGAGACUCUACAAUAUUAUUUGACACAAAUCUAUCUAAAUCAAAAUUUUAAUCAUUUUUACUUCAAACAUUUACUGAACUGAUUUAAAUAUUAAAAUCACUCCUUUCUAAUCCUCUGCUGUACGUUCAAACCUGAGGCCUUAAAUAGAAACACACAAGUAUCUGAUUGAAGGAACUUCUGCAGAGUCCUGGUUCCAGAACAUGAUGAUAGAAUUAUAGACAAACUUUAACAAAAGCUGCCUGAGAGUUUACAGGUUUUUAUGUUAAAUUUCUUCAGUAAUUUAAUGAGAGUUAUCAGCAAAAAAUCAAGUGUUCAUUUGAUGAACUUCAUUUCCUAAAACAUCCAGAAUUGGAGCUCAUAUCUUUGGCAGCUGUAAAGUUUCUGCUCCUUCAAAGUUCACAACACAAUGAAUGAAUUCCUAAAACACUCUCAAUGCUGGAGAGCGUUUGUGAUGCUGAAGCAGUGAUCAGUUUUUCUGUUUCUUCUCUGGAGAUGCACGAGGGACGUCUGCAGAGACUGAGAAAGAGUCUCACCACAUCCUGACAUGAGGAAAAAGACUUUAUUAAAGACUACAAUGAGAAAAACUAGCAGACGGCUGCAUUCAAGUCUGUAGCUGCUGAAUUCAUGGAUGAAUCAUCUGGCACUAGAGAAGAAGACCAUCAAACAUCCACAUCAGCUGAUGGAGGUCCAAGAGUCUCACCUAACAACCAACCUACAGAGUGAAGACCUCAAAUCUGAUUGGACGGCCUCCCAUUCAGUCACAUUUUAGGCUGUUAGAUUGUUCCAGAUAAGACAAGUACAAGAUUCUUCAGAGCCAUUCUACCACGAGCCUGAGAGGAAGAACUCCAACAGCUACUGAAUGUUCCUGUGGUUCCCUCAAGGCUACAGGAGGAGCCCUACGAGGACGAGCUGAUCCACCUGAUGGAGGCCAGUCGCUGUGGUUCAAAGCCAACACCGUCUACGUGGACUUUUACUGGACCACACGGAGGCCUUCAAACCGGACCAACAAGUUCAGCGACUCCCCGACUCGUGGGUCUGAGGACGCCACCAAGCCUCGGUCCAGCCGGCCUCCUGUCUGUGGGUGUUUGAGUGCUGAGAGGAUUACCACAGACCUGACCGUGAACACCGUUGACACCCACCUGAGGGACACGCUGCCUAAGAUCUCAAGGCUGCUUGGUCAUGGUCUUUCUGGUCCUGCUCCAGAACGCCUUCAUCAACUACGUCUUCUUUUGAAGAGGCCCUCAGAUGCUGCAAUCUCUGACCUUAAGGAGGAACUGCUACUUUCACUCUGUAACGAGACGGCAGUUAUUUUAAAGACCCAGCUCCUGUCGGCUUUGAAUGAAAGUUUAAUACCCAUCAAAACAUAAGUACAGACAGUUAAAUCUGAGCUGUCGGUCAGUAUUUCAAACGUCAAGUCUGACCGGGCUGCACUAAAGCACGCUAUGAGUGAAACGGAAACUUCACUCUCCACAUCACCGACGACAUCGUCACACUCCAAAGCAGAGCACCAAUCUGUUGAAUUUUUAAAAGUGGACUAUAAAUGUGAAGAAUGUGAGCAGCAGCAGACUGUGAGCAGUGGAACAGAUGUGAUCAGAAAGAAGUCAUUUUCUUUUUUAUUUUCUUUCUGGUUGACUUGAUGCUGUCAGAUGGAGCUGAUUCUGAUCUUUGAGGAUAAAAAGCUGUUUUUCCUUCACAGACUUUUCAGGAAAUUAUUCUCUCAGGUUUUCUCUGCUAUUUAUAUUUUUAUUAUCUGUGAUUAUUUCAUUAUUUCUUUAUUGUAAAAAUAAAGUUUGAGGUAUAAAGACUCAUUUAGUUAUUUUAAUCCUGAAAUCUUUGAUGUAGCAGAACUAAACUUCCAUUUUCCUUCUUGUACUUCUGAUACUAGAACUAAACGUAUCUUCAGCACGGAUCAUCUGCUUUUAAUGAAUCAGCAGCAACAUCACAACAACAAAUGAGACAAUUUUCAACAAAUUAAUUAAACUGA